rnacentral:lncRNA from 1 species
AGGAGGAAAUCUGCCAGGACCAUAUGGAGUGAGCUUGGGUGCUUGAGUCAUUGAUGCUCGAGUGAGCGGCCCAAACGAAAAAAAUAAUUAACAAUACACUAACAAAACACUAACAAAACAUCAACAAAACAUAUUUUGAUAUUUUGUUAGGAUGUUUUGUUAGUACAGCAUUUAACAAAACACUAAUACUGUACUUCCAGGAUUUUAAGUGGUUAGUAUUUUGUUAAUGUUUUGUUAUAUCAGUAAUGUUUUAUUGAUGUUUUAUUACACUUUGGAGAAUGUAAACUAUGUUUUCUUAGUGUUUCAUUACACUUGAAUUUGUACAUGCUACAUUUUGUUGGUAUCUAAUUUGACUUAUAGAAACAGGAGCUUUUGUCUUGGAAAGUUGGACUUAACCCUUAGCGUGCUGGCGGCAAGUGUCUAUGCCUUUGCGACCAGUGCAGACCAAGUUCAGCCUGCACAUCUGUGCAGUCUAAUCAUAGUCUGCACUGUUCACUAUGCUGUCUGUAAAUUUUCAGCGAACACCCCUUUUAAAAGUUAAUGGUUCUGUCCAAAUUGGAACAUGGACAAGUUCAUUAUAGAAAUUUAGCAGGGUAAGGGUUAAUUAGUAAAAUUUUGGAAUGGAAAAUAGCAUGAAAAAUAAUAACUUAGAAAGCUUUUGUGAUGGAAACUAUAGUCACAGAAGUUUUGGGAGGUAUUUCUUGUGAACAUAAAAUAUUUUAAUGUAUAAGUAUUUUUAUGACCAAUAACUACAAUAAACUCAAUUAGAUAGGUAACAGAACAAAUGAGAUUAAAACAUGAAUUGUAAUGCAACUUGUAUAUAUUAUAAUGUAUUCAUGCACUUUGCAGUAAAGUUCAUUUUGAACUAAUUAAAAAUUUAUUGAAAUAAUUAUCAUUACUUUUUCACCUAGAGUUACAUCAAAAAGAACAUCACUAACAGUAGUUGCAUAGAUAUAUAAUAUUGCAAUUUUUCCACCUGGCUAUUAAGGGGUGAUAAAUUAAUCUACUGCAGUGUACAUGUUGCUUAUCUCACAACAGGAGAUUACCACAGACUGAUAAGAUCUUGUCUGCUUUAUAUUUAGAAACUCUACCAAGAGGUCAGCCAAUGAAAAUAAAGUCAGGGAACUACUUCUGGCGACUGUGCAUGUACCACAAAAAGUAAUCCUUAACUUUUUGGGUUUUUUAUCAGAGUAAUCUUUAAAAUUUAUGUGUAUCUAAAUGGAAUAAAAUCUUACUCUAGAACAGAAAUAGUUUCAACAUCCUACAUGUAUCUUUCAUUAGCUGACUGUAAAUGACACAUUUGCCCAAGAAUAUCAAAAAUUCAAAUCUAAACAGGAAGUUCUGUGAGAGCAUGAUGGAGUUAUUUCACUACAAAGAAGUUUAUUUAUAUAGCUCUUUGUUUACUAUGUGCAGUUUAUAUUUAACAUGGAAGUUUAAGAGUGAUGAAAAUAAUACAAAUGGUAUAGCACCAUAUGUCAUGUAUGUAUAUAGGUAUGGCACACAUGAAUGAAUUGGGACCUUAUCAACGUAUUGUGUUCAAAGAAGACCUAACGAAUCCAGCAGUUCAAAAACAUGUUUUGCAGUGAGACGAAUGGUGACAAUGGCUUUGUGGCAGUUAGUGAAAAACUGUGGCAUUUUACUACUGAUGAUGGCUACCAUUUACAGAAAAUUUCUCAACCAAUAGUGACAUUCAAUUGAAAGUAAUAGCAUAUCUUACACCGACUAUACAUCAGAAUGUUGUUGAAAAAAGCCAUGGCAAAAAGUGGAAAAUACUGAUCAAUAUACUUCAAUGACUUUGGAACUGAGUAGAAAAUGGUGACAUUUUAGCACCAUAUUGUGUGUAUACUUUUUCUUGCAUCCGCACAGUCCGGCCAGGAUCCAUGCUGUUCACUAAUGGUUUCUAUGGUUGCAAUAGCAUUUGAAAGCGAGCAGCAUGGAUCCUGACCAAAUCGAGCUGAUGCGCAGGCUGGUCUGUAGCCAUGCUGAUCGCAAAGCCUCUAUGUUGGUUUUCUCCUGGCACGGCUCAUAUAUAAAUUCAUGUAUGUAAAUAAUGUUUUGCUUAUGGUAUUUUGUCAGCACAGGUAAUGAAAUACUUAAAAAACAUAAAAUAUUUUGUUAGUGUUUUGUUUAAAUUUGUGACCUUGCUCUUUUGCAUAUCAUAUGUUUUGUUGGUAUUUUGUUAGCAGUGUUUUGUUAGUGUUUUCUUUAGCACAUAUAAUGAAACACUAAUAAAACAUAAAGUAUUCUGUUAGUGUUUUGUAUAAGCCUAAUUUGCAUAUCAUGUUUUGUUGGUAUUUCGUCAGCAAUGUUUUGUUAGUGUUUUGUUAGUGUUUUGUUACCUCAUUUGCAUGUCAUUUGCUAUACUAAUAAAACAUCAUCAAAACACA